AGAGUUUGAUCAUGGCUCAGGAUGAACGCUGGCGGUCUGCUUAACACAUGCAAGUCGAACGGACUCUUCGGAGUUAGUGGCGGACGGGUGAGUAACGCGUGAGAAUCUACCUUCAGGACGGAGACAACAGUUGGAAACGACUGCUAACCCCCGAUGAACCGAAAGGGCAAAUAUUUAUAGCCUGAAGAAGAGCUCGCGUCCGAUUAGCUAGUUGGAGAGGUAAAAGCUCACCAAGGCGACGAUCGGUAGCUGGUCUGAGAGGACGAUCAGCCACACUGGGACUGAGACACGGCCCAGACUCCUACGGGAGGCAGCAGUGGGGAAUUUUCCGCAAUGGGCGAAAGCCUGACGGAGCAAGACCGCGUGAGGGAAGAAGGUCUGUGGAUUGUAAACCUCUUUUGAUCGGGAAGAAGACAGUGACGGUACCGAUCGAAUCAGCUCGAUCCGGC
rnacentral:rRNA from 1 species